CAGUCGCCACGGUAAUACGAAGGGGGCUAGCGUUGUUCGGAAUUACUGGGCGUAAAGCGCACGUAGGCGGAUACUUAAGUUAGGGGUGAAAUCCCAGGGCUCAACCCUGGAACUGCCUUUAAUACUGGGUAUCUUGAGUUCGAGAGAGGUAAGUGGAAUUCCGAGUGUAGAGGUGAAAUUCGUAGAUAUUCGGAGGAACACCAGUGGCGAAGGCGGCUUACUGGCUCGAUACUGACGCUGAGGUGCGAAAGCGUGGGGAGCAAACAGGAUUAGAUACCCGUGUAGUCCCUGUCUCUUAUAC
rnacentral:rRNA from 1 species